UCCAACUAAUGCUGCUCAUACGUGCACAGUUGUGGGGACAUCCAUUGAGUUGUUCACACACCAGUAAUUCCACUCUUACAGCCUCGGACACAGCUUUCCUGGCAGCUUGGCAGUGUGGGAUUCAGAGUUCACUGCUGGUUAAAUGUCCGGAAGGCACAGAGCCACAGCCAUCAUCGUUUUUACUCUGCAUUACAUUUCCUGAAACUUUCGCCUGACCAUCUUCUCCUUCAUUGAACCACUACCCUCAGCUUAAAUGAUGGUGCUUUGCACCAUCUGAGGACGUCUGUGGUAGAGACUUCGGUGAAUUCCAUCUGUCCUGUGGCCAAAAGAAUGAAAAGAAGAGCAACUUGGUUUGUUAAUGUGGAAGAAUUCAGUAAGAAUAAGCCCAUGACACAUGUCUGAGAGAAGCUUCAUUGAGAUUGUUUUUAAUUUUUUCAAACAAAGCAUACCAGAAGGCCUUACUACCACUUACUGAAGAACAAAG